UACGGAGGUGCGAGCGUUGUCCGGAAUCACUGGGCGUAAAGGGCGCGUAGGUGGCGCUGCAAGUCAACGGUGAAAGCUCGACGCUUAACGUCGAGUCGGCCGUCGAAACUGCAGCGCUCGAGCACUGUAGAGGCUCAUGGAAUUCCGGGUGUAGCGGUGAAAUGCGCAGAUAUCAGGAAGAACACCAGUGGCGAAGGCGGCUCACUGGCCCGAUACUGACGCUGAGGCACGAAAGCGUGGGGAGCAAACAGG
rnacentral:rRNA from 1 species